rnacentral:rRNA from 1 species
GACGAACGCUGGCGGCGUGCUUAACACAUGCAAGUCGAACGGAAAGGCCCUGCUUGCAGGGUACUCGAGUGGCGAACGGGUGAGUAACACGUGGGUGAUCUGCCCUGCACUUCGGGAUAAGCCUGGGAAACUGGGUCUAAUACCGGAUAGGAGCCAUUUUUAGUGUGAUGGUUGGAAAGUUUUUUCGGUGUAGGAUGAGCUCGCGGCCUAUCAGCUUGUUGGUGGGGUAAUGGCCUACCAAGGCGGCGACGGGUAGCCGGCCUGAGAGGGUGGACGGCCACAUUGGGACUGAGAUACGGCCCAGACUCCUACGGGAGGCAGCAGUGGGGAAUAUUGCACAAUGGGCGCAAGCCUGAUGCAGCGACGCCGCGUGGGGGAUGGCGGCCUUCGGGUUGUAAACUCCGUUCGCUAGGGACGAAGCUUUUUGUGACGGUACCUAGAUAAGAAGCACCGGCUAACUACGUG